CUGUGAGCUCACUGCCUGAUUGUCACACCUGCUACCAAUCCACAUAUACUUCAGGACUACAAUUCCCAAGAUCCAUUGCAGGAUCACAUGAUCCAGGAAACAACACCAUCGACCUAUCAGAAAUCGAGAUCACCUGAAUACUGAUUCCUCACAGCUGUGUAGUAUGUAGGUCAUGUGAUAGUUUAGGCUGGAUAUAAGCUCAGGCUUUAGUGUAGAUCUUUGUGAAGUAUUGCUUCCUUUUGAGACUUACUGAGUGCGCGUUCCUGUGUUUAUUGUCUUCAUGUAUGACUUCCUGCCUGUGAUUUCUCUCGACCCUGUUUUUGGACUUUCCCUUUUGAGUCGGUCCGGUUUUCCUGAAGAAGGUGAAGCUCGGGUCGGUCCGUUGGCUCCGUUGGCGCCGCUGAGGGGCUCGAGCGCCAGACUGUCAGUGGAGCGGCUCCGGCGCGAGGGGCGGAGUGGAAAAGCCCGCCAGUUCGGCGAGGCGAGGCGAGGCUAACGGAGAGGACAGAUUUUACUCUUGGUUACUGGGGGCAAGAGGAGUAGCUGAGCGAGCAAUUGACAUUGGACAUUGUCCCUCAAACUGUGGCUCAGUUUCCCAGAGACAAGUCCUCAAACUUCUGCUCUCAGGAGAAACCACAGAAUUGACCUUGUGAUCAGUGUGGCAGUGUGGAUUAGUAGCUUCUCUGUGUGGAUUCAGGUGAUUUUGAGGCAGAGGAGGUUGGAACCAAAGGUGGUAGCCGUGGUGAGGGCUGCAUGCGCAGUGUGUGAGGACUGGUCAGGGACUGGAAGCCUUGGGAUCAAUAACAGCUCAAGAGAACCUGGCUCUUAAAGACAGUUGAGAGAGGAUGUGGAACGACGUGGUGACGUGCUGUCUCAGUAAG